rnacentral:rRNA from 1 species
GAUGAACGCUGGCGGCGUGCCUAAUACAUGCAAGUCGAGCGAACAGACGAGGAGCUUGCUCCUCUGACGUUAGCGGCGGACGGGUGAGUAACACGUGGAUAACCUACCUAUAAGACUGGGAUAACUUCGGGAAACCGGAGCUAAUACCGGAUAAUAUAUUGAACCGCAUGGUUCAAUAGUGAAAGACGGUUUUGCUGUCACUUAUAGAUGGAUCCGCGCCGCAUUAGCUAGUUGGUAAGGUAACGGCUUACCAAGGCAACGAUCCGUAGCCGACCUGAGAGGGUGACCGGCCACACUGGAACUGAGCCACGGUCCAGACUCCUACGGGAGGCAGCAGUAGGGAAUCUUCCGCAAUGGGCGAAAGCCUGACGGAGCAACGCCGCGUGAGUGAUGAAGGUCUUCGGAUCGUAAAACUCUGUUAUUAGGGAAGAACAAAUGUGUAAGUAACUAUGCACGUCUUGACGGUACCUAAUCAGAAAGCCACGGCUAACUACGUG